GUGUAGUAUGAAAGGAGAGACGUUUAGCACUCCCCUAGACAAGGAUGGACACAUAUACAAACUGGUAAGGCACGGUCGUCUUGUGACGACGCUUACCACAUUUUUUUU